ACAUGAUGAAGGAAACUAGUGAAAAUAAUCCCAUGGAUUGUGUGCAGAUUUGGCAUGCUCCAUAUAAACUACGGACAAAAGGAUGGAAGUCUUAAGUCAAGCUUCACUGCUGGUGACUUUAUGGACAGAGCCACAGUUUUCUUGCAUGCAGUAUGGAACUGGUUGACCACUAACACCUUCGGGAUAUUUUUUCUAACUUCUUUGCCCUGCCUACAGUCCUGAAACUCCCUGGAGAUCUCCCAUCCAAAUACAAAUCACAUUUGACACUGUUUAGCUUACGUGCCCAGGGAAGCUCAAUCAAGUGCUGCUAGCUUUCCUUUUCAUCAUUCUUUGCUCAAGGAGAGGACUAAUGAAACUGUGUCCCAUCCCAAAGAACCUCCCAUUCGCAACAGGAGAAAACCAGGACCGCAAGUGAUGGGAACAGUGACAAACACAAAAUUGUCUGAUGAGCAGAAGGCUCAUUCUGCUUCCUGUGUUGAUCUGAAGCCACAUCUGGUAGUACCCUUGAAUGGGAUUAUUUAUUGUUGUUUGUCUGGCUUUGUGCCAUGCCAAGAGGGCUUAGCAUGUUGUGGGGUGCAGCUGUUGUAAUUUGUAAGCCAUAGCUUAUGGCUUAGCAUGUAGUGCUCACCCAGCCAAUUGUGCUCAUUCAAGAAAGCAGUUUGCUUAAUGCAAGAAGUGAACAUCGUCUUCUGCACUGUCAGCCACCCUGAACUUGGAUGGAUGAAGACAUGCUGUGCAACUCCCCAAAACAAAUUGGCACAACAAUUAAAUAAGUGUGGCAUGAUGGGAAAAUUUGUAAAUCUGUGCUUCUGGCUCAGUAUUUGUACAGUCAUUCCAAAGCCAGAUCUGUAUCGCACAGUGCUUCUGUCUUUUUUGGGGGUGGGCGGGAUGUCCCCAGUGGCUACUAAUAUCUAGCACAGGCCCAUAAAAUAAUUAGGAGCAAUACUACAUGGCAGCAGAAAAUCUUUGCCGAAAGAGUCAACUUGGUAACUGUUUGACAGAGGACGAAGUGUUCCUGCAAGCUAGCAGAAAAGUUCAGGGUGAAAAGGAACUUGGGGGUGGGGGGUAAGGGUGGGAAGACAGAUACUUGCACUUUUAAGCUAUCUCUGCCUUUGCUGGCUAAGCAGAUUUUGAUUAUUAUCAUGACUCUCAAUUGGCUACAGAGGUGGCUGGGCUUUGGAAGAGGCGGCGGCUAGAAGAGUACAAUGGAUUAAUAUAUUCCGCGUUAAUAGCUGUCUGAGAUAAAUCUUCCAACCUU